rnacentral:lncRNA from 1 species
GGCAUGUGUUUAGUCCCACAUCGGUUAUUCGCCAAAAAGAUCUUGCGUACUUAUACAGGAUUAAAGAAUCAAAAAAAUACUUUUUGGUUAGCUUUUUUGGGUGAGAUCUUGCAUUGUGAUACAUGGUAUUAGAGCGCACUCGGUCCAUAACCUAUGUGUACUCGAGGGACGCUGCAACACGGUUUCUUAAAAGCUGACCAUGAUGUGUGAUGAUUUUCUUGUGGUGCACGGUACCGAAGCUAUGGUGCGGGCCAUAAUCUAGCAAGUGGAGGUGUGGCAGCACUUGUGUCGUCUUUCCGGUCACGGUUCUCUUCACAUAUUGUCUCUAUUUAGCAAAAUAUCUUUUAGGAAUUGAUAUAUUAUUAUUAUUAUUAUUAUUUUGUCAAUAUAAAGAGACUCAUCCUAGCCAUUCCUUGUUAGUGGAUGAAAUUCACCUUGGUUGUUAAAUGGUUAUCUUUUGCUUAUCUAUUUAAAUGGCUAACCAUGAAACGAAUCACAUCCUUUUCUUUCUUAUUUUGCCCGACUAAUAGGGGAGGAGUUUCCCUCCCUGUUCGCCGGAGCCAGUCACCUCUUUCCUU